AACGAACGCUGGCGGCAGGCUUAACACAUGCAAGUCGAGCGCCCCGCAAGGGGAGCGGCAGACGGGUGAGUAACGCGUGGGAAUCUACCCAUCCCUACGGAACAACUCCGGGAAACUGGAGCUAAUACCGUAUACGCCCUUUGGGGGAAAGAUUUAUCGGGGAUGGAUGAGCCCGCGUUGGAUUAGCUAGUUGGUGGGGUAAUGGCCUACCAAGGCAACGAUCCAUAGCUGGUCUGAGAGGAUGAUCAGCCACACUGGGACUGAGACACGGCCCAGACUCCUACGGGAGGCAGCAGUGGGGAAUAUUGGACAAUGGGCGCAAGCCUGAUCCAGCCAUGCCGCGUGAGUGAUGACGGCCCUAGGGUUGUAAAGCUCUUUCACCGGUGAAGAUAAUGACGGUAACCGGAGAAGAAGCCCCGGCUAACUUCGUGCCAGCAGCCGCGGUAAAGUCA
rnacentral:rRNA from 1 species